CCUACGGGAGGCAGCAGUGAGGAAUAUUGGUCAAUGGACGAGAGUCUGAACCAGCCAAGUCGCGUGAAGGAUGACUGCCCUAUGGGUUGUAAACCUCUUUUAUAUGGGAAUAAAAUGUUCCACGUGUGGGAUUUUGUAUGUACCAUAUGAAUAAGGAUCGGCUAACUCCGGGCCAGCAGCCGCGGUAAUACGGAGGAUCCGAGCGUUAUCCGGAUUUAUUGGGUUUAAAGGGAGCGUAGGUGGAUUGUUAAGUCAGUUGUGAAAGUUUGCGGCUCAACCGUACAAUUGCAGUUGAAACUGGCAGUCUUGAGUACAGUAGAGGUGGGCGGAAUUCGUGGUGUAGCGGUGAAAUGCUUAGAUAUCACGAAGAACUCCGAUUGCGAAGGCAGUUCACUGGACUGCAACUGACACUGAGGCUCGAAAGUGUGGGUAUCAAACAGGAUUAGAUACCCGUGUAGUC
rnacentral:rRNA from 1 species